rnacentral:rRNA from 1 species
GUAGGUGGCAAGCGUUGUCCGGAAUUAUUGGGCGUAAAGCGCGCGCAGGUGGUUCUUUAAGUCUGAUGUGAAAGCCCCCGGGCUCAACCGGGGAGGGUCAUUGGAAACUGGGGAACUUGAGUGCAGGAGAGGAAAGUGGAAUUCCACGUGUAGCGGUGAAAUGCGUAGAUAUGUGGAGGAACACCAGUGGCGAAGGCGACUUUCUGGCCUGUAACUGUCACUGAGGCGCGAAAGCGUGGGGAGCAAACAGGAUUAGAUACCCUGGUAGUCCACGCCGUAAACGAUGAGUGCUAAGUGUUGGGGGGUUUCCGCCCCUCAGUGCUGCAGCUAACGCAUUAAGCACUCCGCCUGGGGAGUACGGUCGCAAAGACUG